GACGAACGCUGGCGGCGUGCUUAACACAUGCAAGUCGAACGGAAAGGCCCUGCUUUUGUGGGGUGCUCGAGUGGCGAACGGGUGAGUAACACGUGAGUAACCUGCCCUUGACUUUGGGAUAACUUCAGGAAACUGGGGCUAAUACCGGAUAGGAGCUCCUGCUGCAUGGUGGGGGUUGGAAAGUUUCGGCGGUUGGGGAUGGACUCGCGGCUUAUCAGCUUGUUGGUGGGGUAGUGGCUUACCAAGGCUUUGACGGGUAGCCGGCCUGAGAGGGUGACCGGCCACAUUGGGACUGAGAUACGGCCCAGACUCGUACGGGAGGCAACAGUGGAGAGUAGUGCACAAUGGGCGGAAGCCUGAUGCAGCAACGCCGCGUGCGGGAUGACGUCCUUCGGGUUGUAAACCGCUUUCGCCUGUGACGAAGCGUGAGUGACGGUAAUGGGUAAAGAAGCACCGGCUAACUCCGUG
rnacentral:rRNA from 1 species